AACGAACGCUGGCGGCGUGGAUAAGACAUGCAAGUCGAACGGGAUUACUUUUGUAGCAAUACAGAAGUAAUUUAGUGGCGAACGGGUGCGUAACACGUGGGCAAUCUGCCGAGAAGUGGGGGAUAGCUCGCCGAAAGGCGAAUUAAUACCGCAUAUGAUCAGCUAAGACAUCUUAGCGACAUCAAAGCCGGGGCAACCUGGCGCUUUUUGAGGAGCCCGCGGCCUANCAGCUAGUUGGUGAGGUAACGGCUCACCAAGGCUAUGACGGGUAGCUGGUCUGAGAGGACGACCAGUCACACUGGAACUGAGACACGGUCCAGACACCUACGGGUGGCAGCAGUCGAGAAUUUUUCUCAAUGGGGCAACCCUGAAGGAGCGACGCCGCGCGGAGGAU
rnacentral:rRNA from 1 species